rnacentral:rRNA from 1 species
GAAGCGAAGCGGUGACGUGGAGCAAACCNCAGAAAGCCAAUCUCAGUUCGGAUUGUAGGCUGCAACUCGCCUACAUGAAGUUGGAAUCGCUAGUAAUCGCGAAUCAGAAUGUCGCGGUGAAUACGUUCCCGGGUCUUGUACACACCGCCCGUCACACCACGAGAGUUUACAACACCCGAAGUCAGUGGCCUAACCGCAAGGAGGGAGCUGCCUAAGGUGGGGUAGAUGAUUGGGGUGAAGUCGUAACAAGGUAAC